CGAAAACUCGAUAACAUGUAAUAAUACAAAUAACAACGGCUGUAGAAAUCGUCCGGUGUGUUUAAUACAUAAAAAUAAGAUAACAUGCCAUUUACAUAAUCAAUGAAAUAUGCAUACCUGGUAGAAAAAGGCGAUUAUAACUUUUUGUUUUUGUAUUGGGUAUCAGCAAUUCAUUUUAUUUUUACCUGUAAAAAUAUUAUUUCAUAAUCAUUAAUUAGACU